UCCAUCGUAGUACACAGUGUGCUGUUGGUUAGUUUUAAGGAAGUUCAGUACGUGUCGUUAUCUAAAGAAAUAUUAAGUAAGAGAAGAUCCUGCUAGACUUGCGCCUCUAGCGAUAUAGUCAACGCGAAUAAGAAAAUAACUGGUCAGCGGUAAACUAGAAUUUGUUCGAGUUUCGGUUAGAAAUUCAGAAGUAUCAGCAUGACAAAAAACGCCACUAAGAUGUCUUGUCGUGUGAAUAAGACAAAAUGAAGUAGAAGUUGAAGGAAAGACAAAUAAUGUGAUAUCUCCGUUUCUACGUGGCUUUCGUAUUGCUAUUAAUCGAGCGGAUGUUUGGCGAGCCGUGCUGUCAGACUUUCAAGCAACAUCGCUGUAUUUGUCAGUGGCGUGAAUUACGAACGAAUUUGUUCGUAAAAUUUUCUACGCUGCUCGGGAUCAUGUUGAAUUCACAUGGCAACUUUCGCUUGCUCGCGCUUGUUCGCAAGAUUUGGCGUUAGCUGUGAAAGUGCAAACAAGCCAUGCCUCCUUGUCCACCACAGCCCCCGUACAAACUGGAGCUGUUUGCUUUUCCCUCGCAAAACCGCAGCAGAGUGAGUGAGUGAGUGUGCGACUGCAUUCGAUCCGCUUGUACCUUUGCGUCGAAAGAUACUUUCGCUCCAGUUGUUGAGUUAUGACAGCCUUACGGAACGGCAUGAGAAGGAGAUGUUUUAUUCAAAUCAUUUUACAAUUUGACGGAUGUAGGCAUACAUGUCAGGAGUUUGUCAAACAUCGUGAUGAAUGUGAAUUGCAUGUACACCGUGCGGUGUGUAGUAAAUUUGAAAACUUAAUUUGAAUUUUCAUUAUGGCGUAUUGGUUCGCGAUGUGGAGCACUUUAUUACUAUGGUUUGGUUGUGAUGAUGAUAGGAAAACAAUGGCCAAGUAAUGGUUUAACUGAAUAACGGUUGACAUAGGAAAGACGAAGAACAUAUCGCGUAUAUUUGAAGGCGGGUUUGAAAGGAAGUAAUUUGGUUGAAACAUUCAGUAACGAUUUUACGGUGCCGACUUUGAAUAGCCUUGCUCAUUAUGUAACCUUCUUUUUCCGUAUUAUGAGCUACAAAAUUCGCUAUGUUCCGUUUCAAAGGAGCAUUUAAUCUACAGUCCGCUAACGCUGUCUUGGAUAGCAAAUUAAUUGCUGUACUGACACAAGCAUCAUGUUGUAAAUACAAUCCAAAGUGAACAAAUUAACGCCUUAGCAGUCCGCCAUCUGCUGCAAAAAGUUUCUCAAUACAAUAUGUUUCCGUCAUGAUGGUGGUACCAUGCCGGACUAUAGCUCCAUGAUUGUUAAAACAAAGGAAACCAUUGAAGGUCGUAAAUAAAAUUUCUUCUUGAGCGUGUAGUUCAUCAGUGCGAUGAAUUUCCGAUAAACUUCCGCUAAUGUAGUCUCAUUUAUUUGGUGGUACGGUCGGUUGCGUGAAGCAGAUUUGAACCCUUGCUGAAAGUAGUUUCUCUCGGCCAUUCUUAGACACACACACACACACACACCCGCAGCCAAACAUACUUGGGAAAUCCUUCGAGAGGGGAUCUUUGUGCGCGGUCUUGUAUUAUCAAACCCAUCCUUCCUUCUCCAAUCUUUCUCCGUACACAGCCACACACGCGGCCUUUCCGUUUGCCGAUUAUCUGAUUUAGGCGACAGGCAAUCGGAACGCGGUGCAUUAACGCGUCUGUGACGCAAGCAGGGCAAAAGUGGGUAAACCAUCUUACCAUCGCUGCCUCCCCCUCCCCCCUUAUCGUUGG